rnacentral:rRNA from 1 species
GAUGAACGCUGGCGGCGUGCCUAAUACAUGCCAGUCGAGCGAACGGACGAGAAGCUUGCUUUUCUGAUGUUAGCGGCGGACGGGUGAGUAACACGUGGAUAACCCACCUAUAAGACUGGGAUAACUUCGGGAAACCGGAGCUAAUACCGGAUAAUAUUUUGAACCGCAUGGUUCAAAAGUGAAAGACGGUCUUGCUGUCACUUAUAGAUGGAUCCGCGCUGCAUUAGCUAGUUGGUAAGGUAACGGCUUACCAAGGCAACGAUGCAUAGCCGACCUGAGAGGGUGAUCGGCCACACUGGAACUGAGACACGGUCCAGACUCCUACGGGAGGCAGCAGUAGGGAAUCUUCCGCAGUGGGCGAAAGCCUGACGGAGCAACGCCGCGUGAGUGAUGAAGGUCUUCGGAUCGUAAAGCUCUGUUAUUAGGGAAGAACAUAUGUGUAAGUAACUGUGCACAUCUUGACGGUACCUAAUCAGAAAGCCACGGCUAACUACGUG